AUUGAACGCUGGCGGCGGGCCUAAAACAUGCAAGUCGAGAGAGCGGCGGACGGGUGAGUAAUGUAUGGGGACUGCCCGAUAGAGGGGGAUAACUACUGGAAACGGUGGAUAAUACCGCUUACUAGCGGAUGACCCAUAUGGGAUUAGGUAGUAUGUGGGGUAAAGGCUCACAUAGGCGACGAUCUCUAGCUGGUCUGAGAGGAUGAACAGCCACACUGGGACUGAGCCACGGCCCAGACUCCUACGGAGGCAGCAGUGGGGAAUAUUGCACAAUGGGCGCAAUCCUGAUGCAGCCAUGCCGCGUGUAGGAAGAAGGCCUUAGGGUUGUAAAGUACUUUCAGCGGGGAAGCGUUACUCGCAGAAGAAGCACCGGCUAACUCCGUGCCAGCAGCCGCGGUAAUUC
rnacentral:rRNA from 1 species